rnacentral:miRNA from 1 species
AGAUGUGUCGUGUCUGAAAGGUCA